CCUACGGGAGGCAGCAGUGAGGAAUAUUGGUCAAUGGGCUUACGCCUGAACCAGCCAAGUCGCGUGAGGGAAGACUGCCCUAUGGGUUGUAAACCUCUUUUGUCAGGGAGCAACGCCGGCUACGUGUAGCCGGACUGAGAGUACCUGAAGAAAAAGCAUCGGCUAACUCCGUGCCAGCAGCCGCGGUAAUACGGAGGAUGCGAGCGUUAUCCGGAUUUAUUGGGUUUAAAGGGUGCGUAGGCGGAAUGCCAAGUCAGCGGUAAAAUCGCGGGGCUCAACCUCGCUCCGACGUUGAAACUGGCGGUCUUGAGUGGGCGAGAAGUAUGCGGAAUGCGUGGUGUAGCGGUGAAAUGCAUAGAUAUCACGCAGAACUCCGAUUGCGAAGGCAGCAUACCGGCGCCCAACUGACGCUGAAGCACGAAAGCGUGGGUAUCGAACAGGAUUAGAUACCCCUGUAGUC
rnacentral:rRNA from 1 species